GAUCUUCGACCCAUCGAUGCACAGGAAGGACUUCCUCUCCCUGUAGAACCGCUUGUCUGUCACAGAAUAAAAACAUUACAGGCUGAUGCUUGUUGGUGACCUUGAACUGCAGCUGGAAGUGUAACCAAACAAAGGAUUACUUCAAGGCCAAGCCAGGCUGUGUUUUUUUUUAAAGCGCCUUCAAACCAGAUCAGUUUCACCUUGAGACAAGGGGAUGCCGACUGCUGCUGCGCUGUUGGACUUGGUGUCUCUGUUUACAACGCCUGGAGCAGAAGUUACGCCUUUGCCAGCAUCCAACGGAAACAUUCUCACACAUCUUUCUCUGGAGAUCAGAGCAGCAGCUCGCUUUGAGGUGCAGAAAUUUCACAUUGAAAUAUAUAAGUGUGGGGUUUUGUUCCAGAAAUAAAAGCUUUGUGACACUUUGACAAAAAGGUGACAUUUAGUCUUUAAAUAUCACAGAUAACGCCACAGUGAAAGUAAAAAUGUUACUCUGGAUUGCAGGUGAUUUAUAUGG